GUCAUUGUAGCAAUACAAGGCAAACGGCUCAUUAACGCGUAGUCAACCUACCCUAUGGACGGGAAUAACCUCGGGAAACUGAGUAUAAUGCCCGAUAGAACACUAUACCUGGAAUGGUUUGUGUUUCAAACGAUUUAUUGCCGUAGGAUGGGACUGCGGCCUAUCAGUUUGUUGGUGAGGUAAUGGCCCACCAAGACUAUUACAGGUACGGGCUCUGAGAGGAGUGGCCCGGAGAUGGGUACUGAGACACGGACCCAGGCCCUAUGGGGCGCAGCAGGCGAGAAAACUUUGCAAUGUGCGAAAGCACGACAAGGUUAAUCCGAGUGGUUUCUGCUAAAGGAACCUUUUGACAGUCCUAUAAACACUGUUGAAUAAGGGGUGGGCAAGUUCUGGUGUCAGCCGCCGCGGUAAAACCAGCACCUCAAGUGGUCAUGAUGAUUAUUGGGCCUAAAGCAUCCGUAGCCAUUUCAGUAAGUUUUCGGUUAAAUCUGUACGCUUAACGUACAGGCUGCCGGGAAUACUGCAUAGCUAGGGAGUGGGAGAGGUAGACGGUACUCGGGAGGAAGUGGUAAAAUGCUUUGAUCUUUCAAUGACCACUUGUGACGAAGGCAGUCUACCAUAACACUUCCGACGGUGAGGGAUGAAAGCUGGGGGAGCAAACCGGAUUAUAUACCCGGGUAGUUCCAGCUGUAAACUAUGCAAACUCAUUGAUGCAUUGGC
rnacentral:rRNA from 1 species